CCUACGGGUGGCAGCAGUGAGGAAUAUUGGUCAAUGGGCGGAAGCCUGAACCAGCCAAGUAGCGUGCAGGAUGACGGCCCUAUGGGUUGUAAACUUCUUUUAUACGGGAAUAACGCGCCUUACGUGUACGUCUUUGCAUGUACCGUAUGAAUAAGGACCGGCUAAUUCCGUGCCAGCAGCCGCGGUAAUACGGAAGGUCCGGGCGUUAUCCGGAUUUAUUGGGUUUAAAGGGAGCGUAGAUCGCAUGUCAAGUGUGUUGUGAAAUGUUGGGGCUCAACCCGGGAAUUGCAGUGGGGACUGGCGGGCGUGAGUACGGGGGAGGUAGGCGGAAGUCGUGGUGUAGCGGUGAAAUGCUUAGAUAUGACGAAGAACCCCGAUUGCGAAGGCAGCUUACUGAAGCGUGACUGACGCUGAUGCUCGAAAGCGUGGGUAUCGAACAGGAUUAGAUACCCUAGUAGUC
rnacentral:rRNA from 1 species